rnacentral:rRNA from 1 species
AUUGAACGCUGGCGGCAUGCCUUACACAUGCAAGUCGAACGGUAACGGGUCUUCGGAUGCUGACGAGUGGCGAACGGGUGAGUAAUACAUCGGAACGUGCCUAGUAGUGGGGGAUAACUACUCGAAAGAGUGGCUAAUACCGCAUGAGAUCUACGGAUGAAAGCAGGGGAUCGCAAGACCUUGUGCUACUAGAGCGGCCGAUGGCAGAUUAGGUAGUUGGUGGGAUAAAAGCUUACCAAGCCGACGAUCUGUAGCUGGUCUGAGAGGACGAUCAGCCACACUGGGACUGAGACACGGCCCAGACUCCUACGGGAGGCAGCAGUGGGGAAUUUUGGAAAAUGGGCGAAAGCCUGAUCCAGCAAUGCCGCGUGCAGGAUGAAGGCCUUCGGGUUGUAAACUGCUUUUGUACGGAACGAAAAGCUCUGGGUUAAUACCCUGGGGUCAUGACGGUACCGUAAGAAUAAGCACCGGCUAACUACGUGCCAGCCGCCGCGGUAACAC